GAUGAACGCUGACAGAAUGCUUAACACAUGCAAGUCGAUUCGAUUUACCUUCGGGUAUUGAGGAUGGCGGACGGGUGAGUAACGCGUAUGCAACCUGCCUGUAACAGGGGAAUAGCCUCUUGAAAGAGAGAUUAAUGCCGCAUAAUACGAGAUUCGGGCAUCCGGAUUUUGUUAAACAUUUAUGGGUUACAGAUGGGCAUGCGUUUCAUUAGGUAGUUGGUGAGGUAACGGCUCACCAAGCCGACGAUGAAUAGGGGUUCUGAGAGGAAGGUCCCCCACACUGGUACUGAGACACGGACCAGACUCCUACGGGAGGCAGCAGUGAGGAAUAUUGGUCAAUGGACGCAAGUCUGAACCAGCCAAGUCGCGUGAAGGAUGAAGGUAUUAUGUAUUGUAAACUUCUUUUAUCAGGGAAUAAUGGUCGCUACGUGUAGCGAAGAGGAAUGUACCUGAUGAAUAAGCAUCGGCUAACUCCGUGCCAGCCGCCGCCGUAAUAC
rnacentral:rRNA from 1 species